ensembl:lncRNA
CCUGAACCUAUAGGGGAGGGUCCGGGUGGGCAUCUACCUUUCGGUGGCGGCUCUGGCUCGGAACGUAGCCCCCGCUCCACCUCUGGCUCCCCCCGCCUCUGGUGCGGGGACCCUCAUCGCCGACCCCGACUGGGGACCCUCUCUGCAGGCCCUGGACUGGGGACACUCGUCGCAGGCCCCGGACUGGGGACCCUCGUCGCAGGCCCCGGACUGGGGACCCUCGCCGCAGGCCCAGGACUGGGGACCCUCGCCGCAGGCCCCGGACUGGGGACCCUCGCCUCUAGGGUCCUUUACUGUCCAGGAUCUCCUCCCAUGUCCUUGAGUCCCUUUCUCCAUGCUGCUUUGUCCUUUGGUGGUGGGUAGUUCUGUCACGAUCGUCGUAUGGAAUGGACCAAGGUGCAGAGUGGAGGAGAGAAGCAACUGGCAACUAUGCUGGCAAUCAUCCUCCCAUCAAGUGAAUGAAAAAUGAUAUCUUCUUUUGGAGGAGAGAAGCAAGCUCUAUUACUCACCUGCUGACUUGAGAGGUUUGGAGGUUGACUUCAUGACAGACUACUGUGCUUUCAACAUAUUCUCACUCCUCCGUGGCAAGACAUUCAGCAACAUUCAGCAACCCAGCACAGCACAACACAGAUGUUCCAGUUGUCUUGAAAGCACCAUAAACCCAGAGAAUGCCAGUCUUUGAUGAUCAAGUUGUAUGACAAAAUUUACCCACGAAGAACUACAGCACAACCUUCCUGUUCAAGUGACCACAACAUGGACACCUACACCACCCGAUGCUACAGGAAGGCCAUAAAGAUCAUCAAGGACAUCAACCACCCGAGCCACUGCCUGUUCACCCCGCUGUCAUCCAGAAGGCGAGGUCAGUACAGGUGCAUCAAAGCUGGGACCGAGAGACUGAAAAACAGCUUCUAUCUCAAGGCCAUCAGACUGUUAAACAGCCACCACUAACAUUGAGUGGCUGCUGCCAACACACUGUCAAUGACACUGACUCAACUCCAGCCACUUUAAUAAUGGGAAUUGAUGGGAAAUGAUGUAAAUAUAUCACUAGCCACUUUAAACAAUGCUACCUUAUAUAAUGUUACUUACCCUACAUUAUUCAUCUCAUAUGCAUAUGUAUAUACUGUACUCUAUAUCAUCGACUGCAUCCUUAUGUAAUACAUGUAUCACUAGCCACUUUAACUAUGCCACUUGGUUUACAUACUCAUCUCAUAUGUAUAUACUGUACUCGAUAUCAUCUACUGUAUCUUGCCUAUGCUGCUCUGUACCAUCACUCAUUCAUAUAUCCUUAUGUACAUAUUCUUUAUCCCCUUACACUGUGUAUAAGACAGUAGUUUUUUUGGAAUUGUUAGUUAGAUUACUUGUUCGUUAUUACUGCAUUGUCCGAACUAGAAGCACAAGCAUUUCGCUACACUCGCAUUAACAUCUGCUAACCAUGUGUAUGUGACAAAUAAAAUUUGAUUUGAU